AGCAGCCGCGGUAAUUCCAGCUCCAAUAGCGUAUAUUAAAGUUGUUGCAGUUAAAAAGCUCGUAGUUGAAUUUCGGGGUUAGUAGGUUGGUCGUGCCACUGGUACGUACUGGUCUCACUGAUUCCUCCUUCUUGAUGAACUGUAAUGCCAUUAAUUUGGUGUUGCAGGGAAACUGGACUGUUACUUUGAAAAAAUUUAGAGUGUUUAAAGCAAGCUAACGCUUGAAUACAUUAGCAUGGAAUAAUGAAAUAGGACGUUCGAUCCUAUUUUGUUGGUUUCUAGGAUUGACGUAAUGAUUAAUAGGGAUAGUUGGGGGCAUUAGUAUUCAAUUGUCAGAGGUGAAAUUCUUGGAUUUAUUGAAGACUAACUACUGCGAAAGCAUUUGCCAAGGAUGUUUUCAUUAAUCAAGAACGAAAGUUAGGGGAUCGAAGACGAUCAGAUACCGUCGUAGUCUUAACCAUAAACUAUGCCGACUAGGGAUCGGAUGAUGUUAAUUUUUUAAUGACUCAUUUCGGCGCCU
rnacentral:rRNA from 1 species